rnacentral:rRNA from 1 species
AGCAUGUGGUUUAAUUCGAUGAUACGCGAGGAACCUUACCUGGGCUCGAACGUAAGAUGACUGUAGGUGAAAGCUUACAUCUCUUCGGAGCAUUUUACGAGGUGCUGCAUGGUUGUCGUCAGCUCGUGCCGUGAGGUGUCGGGUUAAGUCCCAUAACGAGCGCAACCCCUACCUUAGUUGCCAUCAGGUUAAGCUGGGGACUCUAAAGGAACUGCCUACGCAAGUAGUGAGGAAGGCGGGGAUGACGUCAAAUCAGCACGGCCCUUACGUCCAGGGCUACACACGUGCUACAAUGGCCGAUACAGAGGGCAGCUACCUGGUGACAGGAUGCAAAUCUCCAAAGUCGGUCUUAGUUCGGAUCGGAGUCUGCAACCCGACUCCGUGAAGUUGGAUUCGCUAGUAAUCGCGCAUCAGCCAUGGCGCGGUGAAUACGUUCCCGGGCCUU